rnacentral:tRNA from 2 species
GGCGGGAGCGGGGGGCGUUGUUGCCGCCCGUGCGGUUGUUGUUCGUACGGGUGCCGCCGCUGCUGGUGCGGUUUCCGCUGC